rnacentral:rRNA from 1 species
GACGAACGCUGGCGGCGUGCUUAACACAUGCAAGUCGAACGAAGAGCGAUGGAAGCUUGCUUCUAUCAAUCUUAGUGGCGAACGGGUGAGUAACGCGUAAUCAACCUGCCCUUCAGAGGGGGACAACAGUUGGAAACGACUGCUAAUACCGCAUACGAUCUAAUCUCGGCAUCGAGGAUAGAUGAAAGGUGGCCUCUACAUGUAAGCUAUCACUGAAGGAGGGGAUUGCGUCUGAUUAGCUAGUUGGAGGGGUAACGGCCCACCAAGGCGAUGAUCAGUAGCCGGUCUGAGAGGAUGAACGGCCACAUUGGGACUGAGACACGGCCCAGACUCCUACGGGAGGCAGCAGUGGGGAAUCUUCCGCAAGGGACGAAAGUCUGACGGAGAAACGCCGCGUGAGUGAUGACGGCCGUCGGGUUGUAAAGCUCUGUUAAUCGGGACGAAAGGCCUUCUUGCGAACAGUUAGAAGGAUUGACGGUACCGGAAAAGAAAGCCACGGCUAACUACGUG